UACAGAGGGUGCAAACGUUGCUCGGAAUUAUUGGGCGUAAAGCGCACGUAGGCGGUUCGUUAAGUCGGAUGUGAAAGCCCUAGGCUCAACCUAGGAAGUGCAUUCGAAACUGGCGAGCUUGAAUAUGGAAGAGGGUCGCGGAAUUCCUGGUGUAGCGGUGAAAUGCGCAGAUAUCAGGAAGAACACCCGUGGCGAAAGCGGCUCUCUGGAACGGUACUGACGCUGAGACGCGAAAGCGUGGGGAGCGAACAGG
rnacentral:rRNA from 1 species